rnacentral:rRNA from 1 species
UAGGGAAUCUUCCACAAUGGACGCAAGUCUGAUGGAGCAACGCCGCGUGAGUGAAGAAGGUUUUCGGACCGUAAAGCUCUGUUGUUGGUGAAGAAGGAUAGAGGUAGUAACUGGCCUUUAUUUGACGGUAAUCAACCAGAAAGUCACGGCUAACUACGUGCCAGCAGCCGCGGUAAUACGUAGGUGGCAAGCGUUGUUCGGAUUUAUUGGGCGUAAAGCGAGCGCAGGCGGAAGAAUAAGUCUGAUGUGAAAGCCCUCGGCUUAACCGAGGAAUUGCAUCGGAAACUGUUUUUCUUGAGUGCAGAAGAGGAGAGUAGAACUCCAUGUGUAGCGGUGGAAUGCGUAGAUAUAUGGAAGAAUACCAGUGGCGAAGGCGGCUCUCUGGUCUGCAACUGACGCUGAGGCUCGAAAAGCAUGGGUAGCGAACAGGAUUAGAUACCUUGGUAGUCCAUGCCGUAAACGAUGAGUGCUAAGUGUUGGGAGGCUUCCGCCUCUCAGUGCUGCAGCUAACGCAUUAAGCACUCCGCCUGGGGGAGUACGACCGCAAGGUUGA